UGCAAGCUAUGUAUACUGCUUUCUGGCGUGACCCCAUCGGCGAUGAGGGCACAGCCUAUUAUGACGCCCAAGUCCUAAUGUUGGCAGAAAGCGAAGCUGAAGCGCAAGAGCGCUUGCAGAGCAAGAGGGUUCCUGUCCCGAAAAUCCACCGGGAUGAUAAAAGUGACAGCUCAGAUGAAGGGGAGCCAGCGGGAAAAAAAAGAAAGCAGAAAAAAAGGUUUCAGAAACAGAACAGGGACACUGCUAGAGACAAUAACUAUAAUAAAAUAUUGGGAAAUGCGCUUCGCGGCGCCCAUGCAAGCGUCGAAAAGUCCCAGUGUUGGACCAAGAAGGUUGGAAGGGUUAAUCGACAACGUGUAAGUUUGCAUAAGAUGUAAGCUAAUACUUUGGUGGCAAGUUGUAUGAUGCUGUCAUUACCAGUGUAGUUGUUUGCCUGUUUGCUGCAGCACAAGCAGAGCCAUGCCAACCAUGUGGAGUU